rnacentral:misc_RNA from 1 species
GAUGAAGAACGUAGCGAAAUGCGAUAGGUAAUGUGAAUUGCAGAAUUCAGUGAAUCAUCGAAUCUUUGAACGCACAUUGCGCCCUGUGGUAUUCCGCAGGGCAUGCCUGUUCGAGCGUCAUUUCAACCCUCAAGCCCCGCUUGGUGUUGGGCCCCGCCCGCCGUGGCCGGCCCUAAAGACAGUGGCGGCGCCGCCUGGCCCUCAGCGUAGUACAGCUCUCGCUCCAGGGUCCGGCGGCCGCCUGCCAGAACCCCCCCAACUCUGUGGUUGACCUCGGAUCAGGUAGGGAUACCCGCUGAACUUAAGCAUAUCAAUAAGCGGAGGA